rnacentral:rRNA from 1 species
CCUACGGGAGGCAGCAGUAAGGAAUAUUGGUCAAUGGAGGCAACUCUGAACCAGCCAUGCCGCGUGCAGGAAGACUGCCCUAUGGGUUGUAAACUGCUUUUAUCCGGGAAUAAACCUGCUUACGUGUAAGUAGCUGAAUGUACCGGAAGAAUAAGGAUCGGCUAACUCCGUGCCAGCAGCCGCGGUAAUACGGAGGAUCCAAGCGUUAUCCGGAUUUAUUGGGUUUAAAGGGUGCGUAGGCGGCCUGUUAAGUCAGGGGUGAAAGACGGUAGCUCAACUAUCGCAGUGCCCUUGAUACUGAUGGGCUUGAAUGGACUAGAGGUAGGCGGAAUGAGACAAGUAGCGGUGAAAUGCAUAGAUAUGUCUCAGAACACCGAUUGCGAAGGCAGCUUACUAUGGUCUUAUUGACGCUGAGGCACGAAAGCGUGGGGAUCAAACAGGAUUAGAUACCCUGGUAGUCCACGCCCUAAACGAUGAACACUCGCUGUUGGCGAUACACAGUCAGCGGCGUAGACGAAAGACGUUAAGUUAGUUCCGUAACCGUCGGGGUAGGUUACGGCCCGGUCCGAAGGGUUAGGUAAACGUUAAAGUUAGUUAGUUAGACGGGCGUUGAGGACGUUGCCGACGGACGACCGACGAGGGGAGGUUAGG